CGAAAUGCGAUACCUAGUGUGAAUUGCAGAAUUCCGCGAAUCAUCGAGUUUUUGAACGCAAGUUGCGCCCGAGGCUCGUACCGAGGGCAUGUCUGUCUGAGCGUCCA
rnacentral:rRNA from 2 species